rnacentral:rRNA from 1 species
AUGAACGCUAGCUACAGGCUUAACACAUGCAAGUCGAGGGGCAGCAUGAACUUAGCUUGCUAAGUUUGAUGGCGACCGGCGCACGGGUGAGUAACACGUAUCCAACCUGCCGAUGACUCGGGGAUAGCCUUUCGAAAGAAAGAUUAAUACCCGAUGGCAUAGUUCUUCCGCAUGGUAGAACUAUUAAAGAAUUUCGGUCAUCGAUGGGGAUGCGUUCCAUUAGGUUGUUGGCGGGGUAACGGCCCACCAAGCCUUCGAUGGAUAGGGGUUCUGAGAGGAAGGUCCCCCACAUUGGAACUGAGACACGGUCCAAACUCCUACGGGAGGCAGCAGUGAGGAAUAUUGGUCAAUGGACGAGAGUCUGAACCAGCCAAGUAGCGUGAAGGAUGACUGCCCUAUGGGUUGUAAACUUCUUUUAUACGGGAAUAAAGUGAGGCACGUGUGCCUUUUUGUAUGUACCGUAUGAAUAAGGAUCGGCUAACUCCGUGCCAGCAGCCGCGGUAAUACGGAGGAUCCGAGCGUUAUCCGGAUUUAUUGGGUUUAAAGGGAGCGUAGGCGGACGCUUAAGUCAGUUGUGAAAGUUUGCGGCUCAACCGUAAAAUUGCAGUUGAUACUGGGUGUCUUGAGUACAGUAGAGGCAGGCGGAAUUCGUGGUGUAGCGGUGAAAUGCUUAGAUAUCACGAAGAACUCCGAUUGCGAAGGCAGCCUGCUGGACUGUAACUGACGCUGAUGCUCGAAAGUGUGGGUAUCAAACAGGAUUAGAUACCCUGGUAGUCCAUGCCGUAAACGAUGAUUACUAGGUGUUGGAGGAUUGACCCCUUCAGUGCCGCAGUUAACACAAUAAGUAAUCCACCUGGGGAGUACGGCCGCAAGGUUGAAACUCAAAGGAAUUGACGGGGGCCCGCACAAGCAGCGGAGCAUGUGGUUUAAUUCGAAGCAACGCGAAGAACCUUACCAGGUCUUGACAUCCUUCUGACCGGUACUUAAUCGUACCUUCUCUUCGGAGCAGGAGUGACAGGUGGUGCAUGGUUGUCGUCAGCUCGUGCCGUGAGGUGUCGGCUUAAGUGCCAUAACGAGCGCAACCCUUAUCGAUAGUUACCAUCAGGUUAUGCUGGGGACUCUGUCGAGACUGCCGUCGUAAGAUGUGAGGAAGGUGGGGAUGACGUCAAAUCAGCACGGCCCUUACGUCCGGGGCUACACACGUGUUACAAUGGGGGGUACAGAAGGCAGCUACACGGCGACGUGAUGCUAAUCCCGAAAGCCUCUCUCAGUUCGGAUUGGAGUCUGCAACCCGACUCCAUGAAGCUGGAUUCGCUAGUAAUCGCGCAUCAGCCACGGCGCGGUGAAUACGUUCCCGGGCCUUGUACACACCGCCCGUCAAGCCAUGAAAGCCGGGGGUACCUGAAGUGCGUAACCGCAAGGAGCGCCCUAGGGUAAAACUGGUGAUUGGGGCU